CAUUUCUUGGGCCACUCCCGCGGCAUAUGGAGAUUCCCAGGCUAGGGGUCGAAUCAGAGCUGUAGCCACUGGUCUACACCAGAGCCACAGCAACGCGGGAUCCGAGCCACAUCUGCAACCUACACCAAAGCUCACAGCAACGCCAAAUCCUUAGCCCAUUGAGCAAAGCCAGGGAUUGAACCCGCAACCUCAUGGUUCCUAGUCAGACUCGUUAACCACUGAGCAACGACGGGAACUCCUGAAGGCUAUUUUUUAAAAUACCUAAAGAGAAAUUCCCUGGUGGCUCAGCAGGUUACAGAUCUGGUGCUGUCACAGCUGUGGCUCAGGUCACAGCUGUGGAGCAGGUUCAUUUCCUGGCUUGGGAACUUCUGCAUGCUGUAGGAGUGGCAAACAAAACAAAACAAAAAAACCUUAAAGGUAUCCUUUGACUGGACAAUAUAUGAAAACAAUGCAUGAAUGUGUUAAAAAGUAGACAGAUAACAUAUAAGCAAUACCACAGUGUGAGCCUGGUGCUAACCCCCGGUAUCUUUUUUUUAGAAAAACUUACUUAUGUUUUCUUUCUUUUUAUGUCCGCACCUGUAGCAUAUGAAGUACCCAGGCCAAGGGUCAAAUUGGAGCUGCAGCUACAGCCAACACCACAGCCAUAGCAAUACCAAACCUGAGCCGAAUCAGUGACCUAUGCUGCAGCCUAUGGAAGUGCAGUUUCCUUAACCCACUGAGUGAGGCUAGGGAUCAAACCAACAACCUCACAGAGAGACAAUGCUGGAUCAUUAACUCACUGAGCGACAACAGGAAAGCCCUUGGUACCUCUUAAUGAAGAUGCAAUGAUAUUUCUGAAUAGCAUUAGAAAAUUAUUCUUUUAAGAACAUUUUAUUAUCAUUUUUAAGUCUCGUAUGCUUAUUAUCUUAAACACUGUCUUACUCUCUUACAUUUCAUUUUAAUCAGGUAUCUUAUGCUGUUGUGCUUGAUAACCUAAUUACGCUGGGUUUUUUUCUUUUUAUUUCCUACCAGUCUGAAGAUGCAGAAUUUUUCUGAUUUACUUGCUCACAACUCAGCAACAGGAGAGUUGUUUUUAUCUCAUCUUAAGGGUUGCUACUUAUAUCUGUACAUUACUCAGAGCUUGAGAUGACAUGAUUUUCUGUGUACUACUCUGGAAUACAAAUGCUUUUUUUGAACGCCCUCUGCCUGUGAACGCCCUUGGCAAGUUGCCUGGCAUAACUGCAGAUGGGGUAUGUGGGGAGGUGGUAGGGUUCAUAAACAUGCCGACCUUUAAAUAACUAAAAAAUCAUCUGACAGAUGGGUUAUUGCAUGUAGAAGAACAUGACUCAAAAGCCUUUUCAUCUUUGGUUGUUUUCUGCAUCUCAAAAUUUAAAGUAUACCCCUCUUUUCAUACUGCUCUCACUCUCCAUUCUCUUGUAUCUUGUGCCUGUUGAUAGCCCUCGGUAAAAGCUGCUACUUUCUGCCCAAACAUUGCACAACUUAAAGUUCACAUCACAUGGAUUAUAACAUACUGUGAUGGUCCUCAUUUAAAUAAAGUUCUGUUUAGAAGCAUUCUAAAUGACACAGUAAAAUUUUUUUCAUUUUAAUGGCACGGUAUCUAUACAGAUAGGAAUUCCUAGGAUAAUUAAAUCAUCGUCCAUCUGCAAGUAAGUGGUUACAUCACUGUAAUCCAGAUGUCAAUUCCCCUUUUCUAAACUCACUUCCCUCUAAUGCAUUUGAGAAAAUAAAGCUGGCCCACAUAAUGUCCUAAAUUAUUCCCAAACUGCAGCUUCCUUGCAAGUCUCCAGCUCAGUGGUGGAUAAAUUUCACCUUCAUAAUGCUCAUAAACUGAACCUCCAGGGUAUACCUACUCUAGAGAAAAAUAAAAUAAAAUAAAUAAAUAAAUAAACAAAUAAGAUGCUCAUCAGCAUGAGCAUCAGAAAUAGAGAGCUGAAUACAAAACCAUUUAACAUGUCCAUUUACUGUCUUAUCCCUUUAAGCUCAAAGUCAAUACAGUUAUGAGCAUCAUACUUGCUGAGAGUUCAGAGACUCAGGGCUUAAAUUACAGAAAAUGCAGCAAAUUAAAGCUGCAUAUUAGACAUCUCUACCCUUGUAAUACUGUGGCCAUACCAUCUCUGAGAGUGAAUUUUGCCAAUGCCCUUUACCUACUGCUUCUUGCCUCCUUUCAUGUUACCUCUUUCUCUUUUCUAUCCAUGACACACACAUACACUCUCAUACUUCUGUGCUCUUCCAUGCUCCAUCUAAGUGUAAAUUCCUCAUGCAGAACUCUUUUUGUUCACAUUUUUCCUUUAGUCAAUAGCCUCAGGGCCUCAUCUUCUACCCCUUCGUAUCUUACCAUUAUAUGGUCCUAAAUAAUGGCAAUUACUAAAGUAGAGCCCCAUUUUUCAUGUUAAAUAAUGCAUUUUUCAAACUCUGGUUUCAUUAAUAAUGUCUCAAUCACCAUUAUUCAGUGUGAUCAUGACUGUUCGUCUGAAAGUUUACAAGUAUAAGUAAGAAUCUUGGCUGUAUAAAAUAGAAGGAUAGGCAUACCUGGAUUAGUGAUAAAUUAGGUGCAGUUUUGAUAUUUGUAUAGUUAUUUUUAGUAACUUUAUUUUUUUAUUUUUUGGUCUUUUUGUCUUUUUAGGGCUGCACCCACAGCAUAUGGAAGUUCCCGGGCUAGGGGUCCAAUCGGAACUGUAGCCACAAGUCUAUGCCACAGCCACAGCAAUGCAGGAUCUGAGCUGCAUCUGCGACCUACACCACAGCUCACAGAAACACUGGAAUCCUUAACCCACUCAGCAAGGACAGGGAUUGAACCCCCAUUCUCAUGGAUGCUAGUCAAGUUCAUUACCACUGAGUCACGGCAGGAACUCAGCUUCUAGUAACUUUAUCACUUUAUUUUAAAUAACUUUUAUAUUAGAGUUAAAAUUGAUUUACAUACCAAAAUUUCAGUAUCAGAGUAUUCUGAUAGUUUUUUUUGUUUUUGUUUUGUUUUGUUUUGCCACUCCCAUGAUAUGUGGAAGUUCCCAGGCCAGGAAUCAAAUCUGUGGCACAGUAGUAACCAGAGCUACUGCAGUGACAAUGCCAGAUCCUCAAUCUGCUGAGCCACCAGGGAACUCCACAGGGAGUUUUAUCUCUCAUAUGUUGUCAUGUUUCAAUGCAUCCUACAUUUUCAAUUUCAAGAACUCCCUCUAAGCAUUUCUUGUAAGGCAGGUCUAGUGGUAAUGAACUCUCCCAAUCUUUACAUCUAAGAAACACUUUCUGUCUCCUUCAUUUCUUAAGGGCAGCUUUGCUGGAUAAAGUAUUUUUAUUUGGCAGGAGUUUUUUUCUUUUAGCAUUUUAAGUAUACUGUCUCUCUCCUGGUUAGUUUUCCUCUAAAAUGGAAGAGAUUUGAUCUGGAAUAGCAUACAUAUUUUGAUAGGAAAAUGGACCACUUAGAACAGUUUAGCAUAUGCCCAAGAAAGAAAAUAUGUGGCAAAGACCCUGAGGUAUAGAAUUGAAACAGGUUAACUAUAGACUAAAAAUGGUGCAAUCUGUUCAUAUGGGAGGGAAAAUGGCAACCUUCAGCAGGAUAGAUGCACAUAAGUCUGAACAAAACUGGAUCUGGAGAGAGGCAUAAAACAUCUCAUAUCAGUUUUCUUUGUGAUUCAAGAGCCACAUAUUUCUGCUAAAUUGUUCUAGUUUCCUCUCUCUGAGCACAGCAUUUAUUGGAACUUAGUAUGAUUCUCCUAUAUUCAACUUGUACUGACUUUGUCAUCGUGGUUCCUUUAAAGUAAACCCACAAAAAAAUCCCCCUCUACAUAAAUUUUGAUGUUGAAAUUAUAUGUUGUACCUUAACCACUAACCUGCAAUGAUAUUAGCUCUAUAAUCCCUGGCUUUUAGCUUAAAGGUAUUAGACUACUUGGCCAUACUACCUUUUAGCUUAAAGGUGUUAGAAGAUACAGUUUUCUAAUCAGUUCCCUUCUCUUUCCCAUCACUUUAUCCAGUUGAUUGUUCAAUAUACAAUAUAUAAAAGCCAUCUUUGAUUUUGCAUUAUUAGGCAUUUUCUCUAGAAUUUAUGCUCCCAUUUAUUCCCUUCUCUCCUCUUUCUACUAGUGCUGCUUCUGUGACUUCUUAUCCUCCUCUUCUUCUCUUUUUUCUCCCUUCCACCUCCUCCUUCUCCUCAGCGCCUGUCUCUUCCACCAUCUAAGCCUCUGCUUCUGAUUCAUUUUCAUAUCAGUAUCCAUCUUAGGCACUUAGAAUAUCAAAUUAUCCACAAUUUUAAGCUAACAAAUUAGACUGUAGCUGUCCCUUUUUCUGAACAUUAUCUUCUUUAGCUUUUUGAUAGCACUUUUGCAAGCUUUGCUUAUCUAGCUGUUUAAUUUAGGUGUUUUCUAAAACUUUAUGCUUCACUUUUUAAAUGAUCAUUAUAAAUAACACCUUAUAAUUUUAAUUUGCAUUGUCUGCAACAGAGUCAUUAUUUCAUAAAUGUUUCUAUUGCCUCUUUAAUAUACUUUCAAGUAACAAAUUUAAUAACUGAGAAUUCAUGAGUAUGUGUUACUUUUUAAGUUACUUUAAACUAUAUAUUUUAUAUUAUAUUAGUAUUUUAAACUUUGUUUAUUUAAAUAACUUAAAUCUUAAUUUAGGAUUUCUGGACAGUCCUCCAAUAUGUCUACAUUCUAAUCCCUGAAAACUGUGAGUAUGCUAUGUCACCUAGGGAGAGGGAAUUAAGUUUGCUAAAGAUUGCUAAUCAAAUGACCUUAAGACAAGAAGAUUAUCCUGAAUUUUCUGGGUGUGCUCUAUUUAAUUACAAACUUCCUGUGAAUGUGGAAAAAGAAAGCAGUGUCAGAGCCAGAUAUAACAUUGGGAGACUCAAUUGUCAUUUUUGUCUCUGAAGAUGAAAAUGAGACAUCAGCAAAGGAAUGUGGACAGUGCCUAGAAGCUAAAAAAGACAAGACAGGAUAUUUUCCCCCAAGCAUCUCCAGAAAGGGAGGUAGCCAUACCAGUACCUUUAGUCCAAUGAGAUACAUUUUGGAUUUUGUUGUUCAGAACUAUAAGA
rnacentral:lncRNA from 1 species